AGUAAUACAUAAGUAACCUGCCCUANACAGGGGAUAACUAUUGGAAACGAUAGCUAAGACCGCAUAGGUACGGACACUGCAUGGUGACCGUAUUAAAAGUGCCUCAAAGCACUGGUAGAGGAUGGACUUAUGGCGCAUUAGCUGGUUGGCGGGGUAACGGCCCACCAAGGCGACGAUGCGUAGCCGACCUGAGAGGGUGACCGGCCACACUGGGACUGAGACACGGCCCCAGACUCCUACGGGAGGCAGCAUG
rnacentral:rRNA from 1 species